CUCUCAGGAGAGACAGGAAGCCGAAGCGCAGGAAAGUGAGAAGGGCUGGGGCGUGAGCGCCUUUGAGCCUCCACACCCUCCCCUGUCCUCCCUCGGUUCCACUAUGGCUCUCACCUUUAGAUUCCUCUUGGCUUGAAGGGCUGCCCCUUGCUCUAGUAUAAAACCAGGUGCUCUUGGUCCUCAUUUGUCCCCUUCUCAGGAAAGCUUAGCUCGGGGCUGACAGCUUUGCUUCCCAGGGCAGGCGCACCUCACGCUGGCCCGUGGGUUUCCUCGCUGCGGAGCAGAAGUCUGGCCGCUCUAGCCUUGAAGUGUUGCUGACAUAUCUCUGUCUAUGAACCCCCAGCAGCCAGGCAUGAACUCCCAGCUCAGCAGCUUUACCGUGGGGGCUGUAGCCUCAUGGUUGCAUCUAGCUCCUCAGAUGGACCUGACCCUUGCUGGAGAGGGGUUGACAAGUUGUGGGAAGAAGCUGUGCUCCCAGGUUUUCUCAGGAGCAGGAGACAGCAAAGGGGUCUCACACACAAACUCUUAAUAGCAACCCCAUUUUAUUGGUUAUUUAUUUUACUCCCAUAUAGUAUGUAUUUCAGUAAGUGCAUGCAUGCAUUUAUAUAUACAUGUUUUGAAUCAUUUAAUCCCCAGUACAACCCAAAGAAGAGGUACUUUCCCACUUCAUGGACAAGAAGCUGAGGCCCAGAGAAGGGAGAUACGCUGUCCUCGUGGUAGUGAUGUAGUGGGUUCCCUUCUCUGCACUCAAGCCUGGGCAGCUUGGCCUGGAGUCUGCACUCUGACCCGGUACUGUGCUACCUGGGUGAGGAGACUUUGGAGGAGGCCAGAGGGGACCGUGUGGACAAAGGCUGGGAGGCUUGGGACGGUCAGUUUGUAAGUGGGUGGACAUCCCAUCACACCAUUGUCAAUGCCGUUUAUGAAGUAGUGAGGGUGGCACCAGCAACAUGGAAACGCACAGGAGGGACAGACCCCUAAUGGUUCCAGAGAGCUACUUGGUUAAAGAGCAGUUUCUUGAGGGCUUUGGUGAUCACUGCACAGACUCCUCUCUCAACACCUAAGCCCACAUUCCUAGCCACUGGACACAUGGACCUGCCUAACAUGACUGCCUCCAAGCUUUUGUACCUGCUGUGCCCUCUGUCUCUGCUAAGCUCCAUGUAUCUUUCAAGCUGAGACUCCCCUGCCUACAGUCUGGAUCCUCAUGGAAAGAGCUGAGCCAUGAUUAUGCAUAUUCCCAGCCUGGCACUGUAACAACUGCAGGCCCUGUAUCUAAUCCCCUAACACUCAGGCAGCACUCAAAGGUCCUGAGUGCCUGAAGGUGGCGAAACCGCUGAGCUAAAUCCCCAGCCCUAUCCUCUUGGAUCUACACCAGAAGGCCUCUUGUUAACAGACAAGUACCACAAGGCCCAGGACAGGGCUAGCAUGUCACUGCAUCACGUCCCUAGACUCUCAUAUGAC
rnacentral:lncRNA from 1 species